CUCAGUGCUGUUGCUUGGUGCGGCAAGCUAAAUGCAAUAGCUUGUGCUUCCGAAACAUGUGCAAGGAUUCCAAGUUCAAAUGCAAACCCACCUUUCUGGAUCUCUAUACAUAUAGUCAUCCCAGAGCGACCAACUGAGUGCACUGUGUUCAAUGUUAUAGCAGAUUCCCCUCGUGAUUCUGUCCAAUUCAUUGAAUGGUCUCCUACUUCUUGUCCGCGUGCGCUGCUCAUAGCUAACUUUCAUGGGAGAAUAACAAUCUGGACUCAGACUUCUCAAGGUCCAGCUA